AAGGGCGUAGCUCAGUUGGGAGAGCAGCCGUACUGCGAGAUGCGUGCGGAGGGUCGCGGGUUCAAAUCCAUGCCCCCUUU
rnacentral:tRNA from 1 species